UACGUAGGGGGCAAGCGUUGUCCGGAAUUAUUGGGCGUAAAGCGCGCGCAGGCGGUCAUUUAAGUCUGGUGUUUAAGGCCCGGGGCUCAACCCCGGUUCGCAUCGGAAACUGGGAUGACUUGAGUGUAGGAGAGGAGAGUGGAAUUCCACGUGUAGCGGUGAAAUGCGUAGAGAUGUGGAGGAACACCAGUGGCGAAGGCGACUUUCUGGCCUAUAACUGACGCUGAGGCGACGAAAGGCGUGGGGGAGCAAACAGG
rnacentral:rRNA from 1 species